rnacentral:rRNA from 1 species
UACAGAGGGUGCGAGCGUUAAUCGGAAUUACUGGGCGUAAAGCGUGCGUAGACGGUUAUUUAAGUCGGGUGUGAAAGCCCCGGGCUCAACCUGGGAAUGGCCGUUGAAACUGGCGAACUGGAGUGUGGCAGAGGGGGGUGGAAUUCCGCGUGUAGCAGUGAAAUGCGUAGAUAUGUGGAGGAACACCGAUGGCGAAGGCAGCCCCCUGGGUUAACACUGACGCUCAUGCACGAAAGCGUGGGGAGCAAACAGG